AAUGAACGUUGGCGGCGUGGAUUAGGCAUGCAAGUCGCGCGAUAAGAUUCCUUCGGGGAUCCCAAAGCGGCGAAAGGGAGAGUAACGCGUAGUUAUCUGCCCUGAGGACUGGGAUAGCGGCGGGAAACUGCCGGUAAUACCAGAUGAUAUCUCCGGAUCAAAGGUGUGAUUCCGCCUCAGGAUGAGACUGCGUCCUAUUAGCUAGUUGGUGUGGUAACGGCUCACCAAGGCGAAGAUGGGUACCGGGUGUGAGAGCACGACCCGGCUCACUGGGACUGAGACACGGUCCAGACUCCUACGGGAGGCAGCAGUGGGGAAUUUUGGACAAUGGGCGCAAGCCUGAUCCAGCCAUGCCGCGUGAGUGAAGAAGGCCUC
rnacentral:rRNA from 1 species